rnacentral:rRNA from 1 species
GACGAACGCUGGCGGCGUGCUUAACACAUGCAAGUCGAACGGGCCUUGUCCCCUUUUUUUUUUGGGGCGGGGUUAGUGGGGGACGGGUGUGUAACACGUGAGUAACCUGCUCCUAUCUCCUGGAUAACCGCUUGAAAGUGUGGGUAAUACGGGGUGUUCUGGCCUGCUGGCAUGGGAGGGUUUGGGAAGAUUCGACCGGUUUUGGUCGAUGCGGUGGGGGAUGGGGUCGCGGCCUAUCAGCUCGUUGGCGGGGUGAUGGCCUGCCAAGGCUGUGACGGGGAGCGGGCACGAGGGGGCUGACGGUCGGCCCAGGCCUCUACGGGAGGCAGGAGUGGGGAAUAUUGCACAAGGGGCGCAUGCCGGAUGCAGCGACGCAGCGUGAGGGAGGGAGGCCUCGUGGUUGAGAACCGCUUUCGCCAGUGAAGAAGGUCCUGCUCUUUGUGGUGGGGUUGACGGUAGCUGGGUUGAUGAAGCGCCGGCUAACUACGUG